rnacentral:rRNA from 1 species
GUGCCUAAUACAUGCAAGUCGAGCGGACUUGAUGGAGUGCUUGCACUCCUGAGAGUUAGCGGCGGACGGGUGAGUAACACGUAGGCAACCUGCCCUCAAGACUGGGAUAACUACCGGAAACGGUAGCUAAUACCGGAUAAUUUAUUUCACAGCAUUGUGGAAUAAUGAAAGACGGAGCAAUCUGUCACUUGGGGAUGGGCCUGCGGCGCAUUAGCUAGUUGGUGGGGUAAUGGCUCACCAAGGCGACGAUGCGUAGCCGACCUGAGAGGGUGAACGGCCACACUGGGACUGAGACACGGCCCAGACUCCUACGGGAGGCAGCAGUAGGGAAUCUUCCGCAAUGGGCGAAAGCCUGACGGAGCAACGCCGCGUGAGUGAUGAAGGUUUUCGGAUCGUAAAGCUCUGUUGCCAAGGAAGAACGUCUUCUAGAGUAACUGCUAGGAGAGUGACGGUAC